AAGGGUAUGGAGAUUCAUGGGUUUUUUUUUUUAUUAUUGAUUUUGGUGGUUUUACUAGAUAUUUCAAUCGAAAUUCUAAAAUUUAUUAAAAAAUUGGUAAGAAAUUUGUUCAUGGUUAAUAAAAUUAUUUAUUAUGAUUUAGUCAUGACUAAUGGUUGAAAAUUUUACUUUAAUGGGUGAAAAUUUUAUGUUAAUUUGUGAUUUUUUGUUUUGAAAUU
rnacentral:misc_RNA from 1 species